UGGCUCAGGAUGAACGCUAGCUACAGGCUUAACACAUGCAAGUCGAGGGGCAUCAGGAAGAAAGCUUGCUUUCUUUGCUGGCGACCGGCGCACGGGUGAGUAACACGUAUCCAACCUGCCCUUUACUCGGGGAUAGCCUUUCGAAAGAAAGAUUAAUACCCGAUAGCAUAAUGAUUCCGCAUGGUUUCAUUAUUAAAGGAUUCCGGUAAAGGAUGGGGAUGCGUUCCAUUAGGUUGUUGGUGAGGUAACGGCCCACCAAGCCUUCGAUGGAUAGGGGUUCUGAGAGGAAGGUCCCCCACAUUGGAACUGAGACACGGUCCAAACUCCUACGGGAGGCAGCAGUGAGGAAUAUUGGUCAAUGGGCGCUAGCCUGAACCAGCCAAGUAGCGUGAAGGAUGAAGGCUCUAUGGGUCGUAAACUUCUUUUAUAUAAGAAUAAAGUGCAGUAUGUAUACUGUUUUGUAUGUAUUAUAUGAAUAAGGAUCGGCUAACUCCGUGCCAGCAGCCGCGGUAAUACGGAGGAUCCGAGCGUUAUCCGGAUUUAUUGGGUUUAAAGGGAGCGUAGGUGGACUGGUAAGUCAGUUGUGAAAGUUUGCGGCUCAACCGUAAAAUUGCAGUUGAUACUGUCAGUCUUGAGUACAGUAGAGGUGGGCGGAAUUCGUGGUGUAGCGGUGAAAUGCUUAGAUAUCACGAAGAACUCCGAUUGCGAAGGCAGCUCACUGGACUGCAACUGACACUGAUGCUCGAAAGUGUGGGUAUCAAACAGGAUUAGAUACCCUGGUAGUCCACACAGUAAACGAUGAAUACUCGCUGUUUGCGAUAUACAGUAAGCGGCCAAGCGAAAGCAUUAAGUAUUCCACCUGGGGAGUACGCCGGCAACGGUGAAACUCAAAGGAAUUGACGGGGGCCCGCACAAGCGGAGGAACAUGUGGUUUAAUUCGAUGAUACGCGAGGAACCUUACCCGGGCUUAAAUUGCAGUGGAAUGAUGUGGAAACAUGUCAGUGAGCAAUCACCGCUGUGAAGGUGCUGCAUGGUUGUCGUCAGCUCGUGCCGUGAGGUGUCGGCUUAAGUGCCAUAACGAGCGCAACCCUUAUCUUUAGUUACUAACAGGUUAUGCUGAGGACUCUAGAGAGACUGCCGUCGUAAGAUGUGAGGAAGGUGGGGAUGACGUCAAAUCAGCACGGCCCUUACGUCCGGGGCUACACACGUGUUACAAUGGGGGGUACAGAAGGCAGCUAGCGGGUGACCGUAUGCUAAUCCCAAAAUCCUCUCUCAGUUCGGAUCGAAGUCUGCAACCCGACUUCGUGAAGCUGGAUUCGCUAGUAAUCGCGCAUCAGCCACGGCGCGGUGAAUACGUUCCCGGGCCUUGUACACACCGCCCGUCAAGCCAUGGGAGCCGGGGGUACCUGAAGUACGUAACCGCAAGGAUCGUCCUAGGGUAA
rnacentral:rRNA from 1 species